CAGAAGGGCUGGAGCCUGGCUCCACCUCUCUUUGACCUCAUUUAAGGGCUGACUGCCCCUGUGGAAGGGUCUCUGGUUGAAGAUCCCUCCCUUGUGGGGUUUUUCCUUGCAAGCCUAGAUCUUCAGCGAUGGGGUCCAUGGAGCAGAAAAUCAUCAAGUGCAAUGAUGAGAUGCUGGAUCCUGCCCACCAGAAGAGCAAGGGGGCUGUGCAGAAAGAAGGCUGCACUGACCGUGACUCAUGAAAUCGGGGAACAGCACAGGCCUCCAUCACAGUUUGCUAAAAAGUAUGAUUUCCUCUCCUUUGAC